AGAGUUUGAUCCUGGCUCAGGAUGAACGCUAGCUACAGGCUUAACACAUGCAAGUCGAGGGGCAGCAUAGAACUUAGCUUGCUAAGUUUGAUGGCGACCGGUCGCACGGGUGAGUAACACGUAUCCAACCUUCCGUUUACUCAGGGAUAGCCUUUCGAAAGAAAGAUUAAUACCUGAUAGUAUGGUGAGAUUGCAUGAUAGCACCAUUAAAAGA
rnacentral:rRNA from 1 species